CCUACGGGUGGCUGCAGUAGGGAAUCUUCCACAAUGGACGAAAGCCUGAUGGAGCAACGCCGCGUGAGUGAAGAAGGGUUUCGGCCUGUAAAGCUCUGUUGGUAGUGAAGAAAGACAGAGGUAGUAACUGGCCUCUAUUUGACGGUAAUUACUUAGAAAGUCACGGCUAACUACGUGCCAGCAGCCGCGGUAAUACGUAGGUGGCAAGCGUUGUCCGGAUUUAUUGGGCGUAAAGCGGGUGCAGGCGGUUCAAUAAGUCUGAUGUGAAAGCAUUCGGCUCAACCGGAGGAAUGCAUCAGAAACUGUUGAGCUUGAGUGCAGAAGAGGAUAGUGGAACUCCAUGUGUAGCGGUGGAAUGCGUAGAUAUAUGGAAGAACACCAGUGGCGAAGGCGGCUCUCUGGUCUGCAACUGACGCUGAGGCUCGAAAGCAUGGGUAGCGAACAGGAUUAGAUACCCGAGUAGUC
rnacentral:rRNA from 1 species